rnacentral:rRNA from 1 species
UACGAAGGGGACUAGCGUUGUUCGGAUUUACUGGGCGUAAAGCGCGCGUAGGCGGAUCGCUAAGUCAGGGGUGAAAUCCCAGGGCUCAACCCUGGAACUGCCUUUGAUACUGACGGUCUGGAGAUCGGGAGAGGUUGGUGGAAUUCCGAGUGUAGAGGUGAAAUUCGUAGAUAUUCGGAGGAACACCAGAAGCGAAGGCGGCCAACUGGCCCGAUACUGAC